CUCGUAGGCGGCCAACUAAGUCAGACGUGAAAUCCCUCGGCUUAACCGGGGAACUGCGUCUGAUACUGGAUGGCUUGGGGUUGGGAGAGGGAUGCGGAAUUCCAGGUGUAGCGGUGAAAUGCGUAGAUAUCUGGAGGAACACCGGUGGCGAAGGCGGCAUCCUGGACCAAAUCUGACGCUGAGGAGCGAAAGCCAGGGGAGCAAACG
rnacentral:rRNA from 1 species